rnacentral:rRNA from 1 species
AGGGCGAAAAUUUUUGCGGACAUGGGGGGGAAACCCUGAUCCAGCCUGCCGCGUGCCCCCUUGAUGGCGUUCGGGUUGUAAGUCUUUUGGAGGGAAGACUUCGUAACAGCUAACCGGUUCACUGCUGACGGUAUCUGCAGAAUAAGCACCGGCUAACUACGUGCCAGCAGCCGCGGUCAUACGUAGGGUGCAAGCGUUAAUCGGAAUUACUGGGCGUAAAGCGUGCGUAGGCGGUUCGGAAAGAAAGAUGUGAAAUCCCACGGCUCAACCUUGGAACGGCAUUUGAAACUGCCGAGCUAGAGUAUGGCAGAGGGGGGUAGAAUUCCACGUGUAGCGGUGAAAUGCGUAGAUAUUUGGAGGAACACCAAUGGCGAAGGCAGCCCCCUGGGAUGAUACUGACGCUCAAACGCGAUUUUCUUUGGGGAGCAAACAGGAUUAGAUACCCCGUUAUUC